rnacentral:rRNA from 1 species
UGGGGAAUAUUGGACAAUGGGUGAAAGCCUGAUCCAGCCAUGCCGCGUGUGUGAAGAAGGUCUUCGGAUUGUAAAGCACUUUAAGUUGGGAGGAAGGGCAGUAAGCGAAUACCUUGCUGUUUUGACGUUACCGACAGAAUAAGCACCGGCUAACUCUGUGCCAGCAGCCGCGGUAAUACAGAGGGUGCAAGCGUUAAUCGGAAUUACUGGGCGUAAAGCGCGCGUAGGUGGUUCGUUAAGUUGAAUGUGAAAGCCCCGGGCUCAACCUGGGAACUGCAUCCAAAACUGGCGAGCUAGAGUAGGGCAGAGGGUGGUGGAAUUUCCUGUGUAGCGGUGAAAUGCGUAGAUAUAGUAAGGAACACCAGUGGCGAAGGCGACCACCUGGGCUCAUACUGACACUGAGGUGCGAAAGCGUGGGGAGCAAACAGG